UCCGUUCCGGUUGUUUGCGCGGGCGCCUGCCUGACGCAGUUUGACAGAUUUGAGCAUGGCUCCGAAAAGACAGCAGGAAUCGGGUGCUGAGAAACGAAAGAAGAAGAAACUUUGAGAUGAUGCCCGUGCAUCACUUUCAGAUACAGGCACUCUGGAUUUGCUGAGGCAGUGUCAUCUGCCAAGGAGCUUUGUGAGGCCAUGAACAUAGAGCCAGAGCUCAAGGAGAAAAGGCUCAGGAACACAAAAAGGCAGUUUGCAUAUGAGACUGCUGACGAGCCCUUCAGUGAUGCCCUCAAAAGGCUUGAGGUAACAUUUUUCAAUAGUGUUGUGGACUCAGCUUUGAUGUCACUGCAGGAGCGUUUUGAGACCAUGACCCAGGUCAGAGACAAAUUUGGAGUGCUGCUCGAUUUCAGCAGAGUGCACGGAAUGUCCAAGGAGGACUUACAAAAAAAAUGCAUUGAAGUGCAGAAGACACUGACUGAGGAAGGAAAUUCUGAUAUUGAUGGACUUGAGAUGGUUCAGGAAAUCAUCAACCUUCCUCAACUGUCCCCACAGACAACUGCCUUGGAGUUGCUCACAUUUCUCCAUGAGAAUAGCCUUCAAGAGGUGUAUCCAAAUCUCUGGGUUGCUCUUAGAGUUGCAUUAACUCUCCCUGUUACAGUUGCCUCUGCUGAGCGAAGUUUUUCAAAACUAAAGCUCAUUAAAACAUACUUGCGUUCAACAAUGGGGCAGGAACGUCUAAGUGGUCUUGCUUUCAUCAGCAUCAAUGGUGAAGUGGCUCAGAAGCUGUCAUAUGAUGACCUAAUAAGUGAUUUUGCAGCGAGGAAAUGCAGACGUGUGGUUCUAUAGAGCCUCCCAAAACUGGUGGAAAUGCUUGAUCCAUACAGAAUAGCAUUAUGGCUCCGUCAAAAUGUAUGUCUUUGGUUUAUUUUGACAACAAUUGGUCUAAGAAGAUUUUGCCCUUUACUUGAAUGUGUGUUUUUAGCUGUUCUACAUAGCCUACUGUGUUUACAAAGUAAUUAAAGUUGUGACUUUUAGUCCUCUAAAUCUUUGUUUUAUUUAAGAAGACUGACUAUUCUUGUUUGUACUUAUUGAUGAUUAUUUUAUUUUAUUUAUUCAAAGUGACAUUGAAUUGGCAAAAAAAAAAGUCUGGAUUAUUUUUUUAUUUUGCUAUUCUGUUUACUGUUUACAAAGUCAGCAAAGCUGUGAAGAUUUUACUUUCUCUUUUUAGUGUUCUUAAGUUUUAUACUGUGAUGCUGCUAUUGUGUGUUAUUGGUAUUGAGUUAUGUUUGGUAAUAAAAAGUUAAACUGGCAAAAA